CGUAGGGUCCAAGCGUUAUCCGGAAUCACUGGGCGUAAAGCGCGCGUAGGCGGGAGUUUAAGUGAGAUGUUAAAUCGUGUGGCUCAACCAUAUCGAUGCAUCUCAUACUGGACACCUAGAGGAAGGCAGAGGCAAGUGGAAUUUGUAGUGUAGCAGUGAAAUGCGUAGAUAUUACAAGGAACACCAAUGGCGAAGGCAGCUUGCUGGGUCUUUUCUGACGCUGAGGUACGAAAGCGUGGGGAGCGAACAGGAUUAGAUACCCUGGUAGUCCACGCCGUAAACGAUGCAUACUAGUCUUAUGGGGUAUCGACCCCCUGUGAGACGAAGCUAACGCGAUAAGUAUGCCGCCUGGGAAGUACGGCCGCAAGGCUA
rnacentral:rRNA from 1 species